rnacentral:rRNA from 1 species
GAUGAACGCUGGCGGCGUGCCUAAUACAUGCAAGUCGAACGAAACUUCUUUAUCACCGAGUGCUUGCACUCACCGAUAAAGAGUUGAGUGGCGAACGGGUGAGUAACACGUGGGCAACCUGCCCAAAAGAGGGGGAUAACACUUGGAAACAGGUGCUAAUACCGCAUAACCAUAGUUACCGCAUGGUAACUAUGUACAAGGUGGCUAUACUACCGCUUUUGGAUGGGCCCGCGGCGCAUUAGCUAGUUGGUAGGGUAAAGGCUUACCAAGGCAAUGAUGCGUAGCCGAAUUGAGAGGUUGAUCGGCCACAUUGGGACUGAGACACGGCCCAAACUCCUACGGGAGGCAGCAGUAGGGAAUCUUCCACAAUGGGCGAAAGCCUGAUGGAGCAACGCCGCGUGGGUGAAGAAGGUCUUCGGAUCGUAAAACCCUGUUGUUAGAGAAGAAAGUGCGUGAGAGUAACUGUUCACGUUUCGACGGUAUCUAACCGGAAAGCCACGGCUAACUACGUG